CACCUGCUCACUGUGGGAUCGCGCGCUGGGAGGGGCAAGGCCAAAGGGAAGACCGCAGAGCCCCGCGCUGCAGAAGGCGCCGCAGCCGAAAGCCAGGGGAGCAAGCUCACUUCCAGAACCACUCUGCAGUCGCAUAAAUCCAACCCGAGAAUGGAACCCUCCUGCCCUAAUCACCUGCCACUGGGCCCCACCUUGCAAGUCUGAGCGUGCGGACCAACACUGCCAGCACACGUGGACAACUGAGUCGCAGCUAUGACAGUACUUCGAGGAAGAUUUGGUUGGUCUGGUGGAUGUGAAGACCAACAGGAAGCCAGCCACGUAUUGAUGGCUUGCCCCACCGUGCUCCUCUGAGAGAUGUCUACAGGAUGCAGGUGGACAGACUGGAGUCUCUUGUGUUUUACCAAAGGGACAGCUUGGUCUUUAGACAGUAAAAAGACAAGGAAAUGUAACAUUUGCGGUGCCCUGCUCAGCGGGUCUGGUUAGCACAAUAUCAUCAGUGAACAGGGAGCAUGGUGUUCUUUAUGCUGUUAAGAAGAUUAACAUACCUGAAAAGCAUAUUUUGCAGAGAGGGUGAGAGUUGACAUUAUCCUGAGCAUUGUAUGAUAAGGGACCCCCGUGUCUUCAGUAAGGGAGAAUCCAUCAUGGCACCAAGUCUGAAAAAGCAAGCAGUUGGAGCAUUUGAUCUCCACAGAGACAAAUGGCUGUAGGAGACAGCUGAUGAGCAGAGGCGGUGCCUGUGGUGCUGGAAUACAGCAGAACCUGAGCUGCAACCUGCAAGGGAAGAGCCCGGGGAUCCUGCUUCUUCACUUCCUGCUGUGUGAUGAUGACUGUGCUAUGCAUUGACUGACACCACCCAGAGGACAAAGAAGCCAGGUUAAAACCAGCUGUAAAUGUUUCCUAGAGGAGAGAGCAGGUGCAGGAGUAGACAGUAGAACAAGAAGGGAAAAGUCAGAAAAUCAAGAGAUCUUGAAUCGUGGCCAAACUUUUUAUCUUCUACUAGUCUCGGUUUCUUUAUAGGCAAAUAAAUUCUGUUAUUUACUUUAAAAAGCAACAGUAAAUAAUGCCUUGUCUCA